UACGAAGGGUGCAAACGUUGCUCGGAAUCAUUGGGCGUAAAGCGCACGUAGGCGGCCUGUUAAGUCGGAUGUGAAAUCCCUCGGCUCAACCGAGGACGUGCAUACGAAACUGGCAGGCUCGAGUAUGGAAGAGGGUCGCGGAAUUCCCGGUGUAGAGGUGAAAUUCGUAGAUAUCGGGAGGAACACCAGUGGCGAAGGCGGCGACCUGGGCCAAUACUGACGCUGAGGUGCGAAAGCGUGGGGAGCAAACAGG
rnacentral:rRNA from 1 species